CGGGGGGAGCAAGCGUUGUUCGGAUUUACUGGGCGUAAAGGGCGCGUAGGCGGCCAGCGCAAGUCAGUUGUGAAAUCUCCGGGCUUAACCCGGAAAGGUCAACUGAUACUGCGCGGCUAGAGUGCAGAAGGGGCAACUGGAAUUCUCGGUGUAGCGGUGAAAUGCGUAGAUAUCGAGAGGAACACCUGCGGCGAAGGCGGGUUGCUGGGCUGACACUGACGCUGAGGCGCGAAAGCCAGGGGAGCGAACGGGAUUAGAUACCCCGGUAGUCCUGGCCUUAAACGAUGGAUGCUUGGUGUCUGGAGUUUUAUAGUCUCCGGGUGCCGUAGCUAACGCGUUAAGCAUCCCGCCUGGGGAGUACGGUCGCAAGACUG
rnacentral:rRNA from 1 species